rnacentral:rRNA from 1 species
CUACGGGUUGCUCCAGUGGGGAAUAUUGCACAAUGGAGGAAACUCUGAUGCAGCAACACCGCGUGGAGGAUGACACUUUUCGGAGCGUAAACUCCUUUUAUAUAGGAAGAAGAUGACGGUACUAUAUGAAUAAGCGCCGGCUAACUCCGUGCCAGCAGCCGCGGUAAUACGGAGGGCGCAAGCGUUACUCGGAAUCACUGGGCGUAAAGAGCGUGUAGGCGGAUUAAAAAGUCAGAAGUGAAAUCCUAUAGCUUAACUAUAGAACUGCUUCUGAAACUCUUAAUCUAGAAUAUGGGAGAGGUAGAUGGAAUUUCUGGUGUAGGGGUAAAAUCCGUAGAGAUCAGAAGGAAUACCGAUUGCGAAGGCGAUCUACUAGAACAUUAUUGACGCUGAGACGCGAAAGCGUGGGGAGCAAACAGGAUUAGAUACCCUGGUAGUC